GACAAGAGAGAGACAGGAAUGGAGAACAAGGAGAACAAGCCAAUCCCUGCUUCAGACCAUGCCAGAGCUCCUGCCCACUUCCCUCUGUGAUGGACUGGGACAUAGUGGUGUAAGCCAAAGAAACCAUUCCCUCCCCAUGCUGCUUUUGGCUGGCAUUUCUCACAGCAACAAACCCCAAAAUUGAACGGCAAUUUAAGGAAGGAAGGAUUUGCUUGAUCUAAAAACUCUGAAGGGCGUCCCUGCUUUUCUACUGAUUGGCUGACACAGCCUACAAGAUGAU
rnacentral:lncRNA from 1 species